AGAAUACCGGCCUGUCACGCCGGGGGUCGCGGGUUCGAGCCCCGUCCGCUCCGCCA
rnacentral:tRNA from 2 species